rnacentral:rRNA from 1 species
UACGGGGGGAGCAAGCGUUGUUCGGAUUUACUGGGCGUAAAGGGCGCGUAGGCGGCACCGCAAGUCGACUGUGAAAUCUCCGGGCUUAACCCGGAAAGGUCAGCCGAUACUGCGGGGCUAGAGUGCAGAAGGGGCAACUGGAAUUCUCGGUGUAGCGGUGAAAUGCGUAGAUAUCGAGAGGAACACCUGCGGCGAAGGCGGGUUGCUGGGCUGACACUGACGCUGAGGCGCGAAGACUAGGGGAGCGAACGGG